CAGUCGCCGCGGGAAUACGUAGGUGGCAAGCGUUGUCCGGAAUUAUUGGGCGUAAAGCGCGCGCAGGCGGCCUAUCCAGUCUGUCUUAAAAGUUCGGGGCUCAACCCCGUGAUGGGGUGGAAACUAGUAGGCUAGAGUAUCGGAGAGGAAAGCGGAAUUCCUAGUGUAGCGGUGAAAUGCGUAGAUAUUAGGAAGAACACCAGUGGCGAAGGCGGCUUUCUGGACGAAAACUGACGCUGAGGCGCGAAAGCCAGGGGAGCGAACGGGAUUAGAGACCCCCGUAGUCCCUGUCUCUUAUACA
rnacentral:rRNA from 1 species